UUUCCCGUUCACUGCAUCCAGUCCCCGCAGCUUCUUCCUUCCCUGAGCCGCCGCACUCACCAUCGAUCCCCAUCGCCACACACCAACUCCGCCCAGUGCCGGCUCCAUGGACCCCCACCCACACCGCACCUAGUGCUGCCGCCCCCUCCCCAUCAUCCAGUACUGCCUCGCCACAAGCAUCCGCCCCCCCUCUCUUGUCGCUCCUCCUCUCCCCCGAUCUGGAUCUGGAGGGAGAGAGCCUCGUCGCCGCCCCGCCUUCCCUCUCCUCUACCCGCCGCUCGCCACCUCUCCUCCCUUCCAGCUGUGUGGUUGUGCCUGCCUCUUUGAGCUUCGGCCUCUCCCCAGCUGGCGAUGAGCACUCAUCUCCGAUGAGCCGCCGUGGCGUGCCAUCCUCCCCCUGCUUGAGUCAGAUCCGGCCACCCCAUCCUCGGAUCCGGCCACCCCGGCCUCGCAUCCGGCCACCACCACCCACCUGGAUCCCUCCUCGUCAUAGGACACCAUCAGCAGGUGGUGGUCGAAAACAUGCCGAGACCGCCGUCUCUGCAUCCACGUGUGGAGGUCGCCGUCGCUAGGACACCACCAACCCGAGGAGGAAGAGGUGCAGCACCCAAGCUCCGACCAGUGCUUCGUCCUCUGUCUCGUGGCUUCGACGAGUUGCCUCCCCCAGUGAUUUGCCUGCUCUGCAUGCGACUUGCCUCUUCUCCGAUCCGGAACCUUGUGCAACUAAUAUACUUGCCCGCCAUGAAAAAUCCUUCUCUCGGUUCGUGCAGUGUCAACUAUGUAGAACAUAUAUGGAUGUUGCAGUUUCAUGCGAGCUUUGUAAAGUUCACUGCAUAUACGGAUUUACAGCUCCUGAAUCCAAGGGAUCCACUCUAGUGUAUAAAGCAUCAGAUACUGAAUUGAUAUGUCAAUUAUCCAAGUGCUGGAUCUUUCUUGAGAGAUAUCACUAUAAAAACCAACUACUCAUUGAUUAUUUUGGAUCUCUUUCUGCCUUUUCAAGGCAUAAAAAAGAAAAGGUAGAUGCCCAUGUCUGGUAACAACUUCUGAGAAGGGGACUAUGAUUAGAGUAUAUACCGUGGCACAAGCAACUAAGUUACAUAGGUUUCAGUGGGAGCAUAUCCAUCAACAAUUUACUCGCUCGCAUUUCGGCCGUGCAUCGCCCAGCCUGAUGUUUUUGCUGCCAGAAGUUCAUCAGGCUCUUUGCACAUGUUUUUCCUUGACACAACCAGAAACGGAGGGUUGCAUUUCCUUCACAGUUGUUCUAAUUCGUGAACCACUUAUGUGGACAUAUUUUUUAUGUGCUUCACUUUUCAGAAGCCAAACGAAUAAAUUACUCGGUUCAGUAAUGUACAUGCCAAUUGACUUAAUUUUUUUUCAGGUUGGCAACGCGUGCUUCAAGGCUAGUGAUCUACUCACCUUGUGCAACCAUUUUCUUCACUCGGCUUGAAGACCAUAUAAGUUCAGUUUUGAAAUUAUAUUGUAUUGACCUAGAAAGGCUACAAAGUAAAGAUGCUAACUUAGAAUGAUCUUUUCAUGUGUACCCAGUGUGUUGCACAUAUCUGAUUUGUGGAAAUGAUCUGUUAUUAGGUUUGUAAUAUACAAAUGUGAAGCAUAUAUGUUGGAUGUUUUAUUGUUGGGCAUGAAUGGAUUUCAAUGCUAAGUUGAGAUAUCA